GGCAUCGUAGCUCAGUUGGCUAGAGCGUUGGCUGUACCAAAGCCUAUCCCUUGCUGGCGUGGAUUCGAAUCUAACCGAGGCCG
rnacentral:tRNA from 1 species